rfam:Nelumbo nucifera unplaced genomic scaffold scaffold00230, whole genome shotgun sequence
AAUUAGGUGCCACUAGGCACCAUAUCAGUGUAACAGUGAAAAAAUG